GAGGGUAUAGCUCAGUGGUAGAAUGUGUGCUUAGCGUACGUGAAGUCUUGGGUUCAAUCCCCAGUACCUCCA
rnacentral:tRNA from 1 species